UAAUAGAUACCCGGGUAGUCCACGCCGUAAACGGUGGGCACUAGGUGUGGGCGACAUUCCACGUCGUCCGUGCCGCAGCUAACGCAUUAAGUGCCCCGCCUGGGGAGUACGGCCGCAAGGCUAAAACUCAAAGGAAUUGACGGGGGGCCCGCACAAGCGGCGGAGCAUGUGGCUUAAUUCGACGCAACGCGAAGAACCUUACCAAGGCUUGACAUACACCGGAAACGUCCAGAGAUGGGCGCUCCCUUGUGGUCGGUGUACAGGUGGUGCAUGGCUGUCGUCAGCUCGUGUCGUGAGAUGUUGGGUUAAGUCCCGCAACGAGCGCAACCCUUGUCCCGUGUUGCCAGCAGGCCCUUGUGGUGCUGGGGGACUCACGGGGAGACCGCCGGGGGUCAACUCGGAGGAAGGUGGGGACGACGUCAAGUCAUCAUGCCCCUUAUGUCUUGGGCUGCACACGUGCUACAAUGGCCGGUACAAUGAGCUGCGAUACCGCGAGGUGGAGCGAAUCUCAAAAAGCCGGUCUCAGUUCGGAUUGGGGU
rnacentral:rRNA from 1 species